rnacentral:rRNA from 1 species
AUUGAACGCUGGCGGCAGGCUUAACACAUGCAAGUCGAGCGGAGAGGGGUAGCUUGCUACUGAUCUUAGCGGCGGACGGGUGAGUAAUGCUUAGGAAUCUGCCUAUUAGUGGGGGACAACAUUUCGAAAGGAAUGCUAAUACCGCAUACGUCCUACGGGAGAAAGCAGGGGAUCUUCGGACCUUGCGCUAAUAGAUGAGCCUAAGUCGGAUUAGCUAGUUGGUGGGGUAAAGGCCUACCAAGGCGACGAUCUGUAGCGGGUCUGAGAGGAUGAGCCGCCACACUGGGACUGAGACACGGCCCAGACUCAUACGGGAGGCAGCAGUGGGGAAUAUUGGACAAUGGGCGGAAGCCUGAUCCAGCCAUGCCGCGUGUGUGAAGAAGGCCUUAUGGUUGUAAAGCACUUUAAGCGAGGAGGAGGCUACUUUAGUUAAUACCUAGAGAUAGUGGACGUUACUCGCAGAAUAAGCACCGGCUAACUCUGUGCCAGCCGCCGCGGUAAUAC